AGGCCCAAAUCAGAACACACCAGAAACUGAGAUCUGAAACAGACGGUACACCGGAGACGCAAUCCUCACCUAAUUUAGAUCCGACGCUAACAAAGACGAUUCCCCCCUUUGCAACUUACGACCUCAACAUCAAACCUUUGACCGGAGUUAGCGAAUCCCGCCGCGAGCCGUCGUAUCUAAUCGUCAUCUUCUUCUAGCCUCUCUCUUUAGAUUUUGGAUUUUUCUAUUGCUGGGAAUGUAUCUAAUCGUCAAUGAUCAUUUUUUAGCUUCUGCAUUGAAGACAAUCUGUACAAGAUCAUAAUCGUGUGUGUUCAUGUGUGAAAUAAUUUAUGAUAAUCAACUAAGCCAUGAAUUAUUGCAAUUAUCUUGUGGCUUUCAUGUUUAAUGUGCUUGAUCAUUGCAUUGAAAAGCCAUGUGUACAAAAUAAGAGGUGAGGAAGAUAUUGGAGAGCUUCUUGUGUCCGAUUUUUUUGAUUGUUGCAUUGAGUUACUUCCUCACGAAUCAAGCAUAUUGCGACUUCAUUUAGACAAGCCUUUUCUGAUUUUCCUUGAUGUGUCCUGUUGUAAUUGUAGUUGAGGAAGUUUUUCAGUUAGACUUGUUUAAGACAAAUAAAAAGAGAGAGAGCUUUUUUGCUGACCGGGUACUCGAUUUAUUAUUCGAAAUGCUCCAAUGACCGGGAUGUCUUCGGAAUGCUCCUACAGAAGACAAGAUUGACUGUACGUCUCUGAUCUUCAAAAUUUAAUCCAAGAAACCAUCUAUAACAAAUUAUAAUGCGAUGUUCACAUACUACAUAGAAUCAAAGAAAGUUCAUUAGUUUCGUUUCGUUUUGGUUUGUUUUCUCUUAUCAGAGCAAACUAUUUUGGGAAUUGUGUUUGUUUUCUCUUAUCAUGUCUAUUUGUUUCAAUUUACCUGAACAUUUUUCAAGACGUUGUUGUGACUUCUCUGAGAAAAAGAAAAAAAGAACCUUAUGUU